rnacentral:rRNA from 1 species
UACAGAGGGUGCGAGCGUUAAUCGGAAUUACUGGGCGUAAAGCGCGCGUAGGCGGUUUUGUAAGUCGGGUGUGAAAUCCCCAGGCUCAACCUGGGAACUGCAUUCGAGACUGCAUAGCUAGAGUAUGGGAGAGGGAAGUGGAAUUUCAGGUGUAGCGGUGAAAUGCGUAGAUAUCUGAAGGAACAUCGGUGGCGAAGGCGGCAUCCUGGACCGGCAUUGACGCUGAGGCGCGAAAGCCAGGGGAGCAAACGGG